GUGCUCGCUUCGGCGGCUCACACACUAGAAUUGGCACGAUGCAGAGAUUGGCCCGACCCUGGCGCAAGGAUGACAGACAAAUUUGUGAAGCAUUCCAUAUUUAA
ensembl:snRNA U6 U6 spliceosomal RNA